GCUCUGAGCAGGCCGACAGUCAUAGACGAGUAGACCUUAGGCGAGGGAAGGCAUGUACUUUCCCUAAGAAGCGGGAGGAGAGAAAUAAAUAGAGGGCAGUGGGAUGAGAAGAACCUCGCGGGAUGGGAAGCCGCGGAGGGAAGGGCCGUCUUUGGUUACCUGGAGAGCGGGAGCAGCUGCGGAUCCCUUAUGAAGUGCCCGGAUGAAGCUCCAGCGCUCACGCGCUUUCCGCAUUGAGUGCAGCGCCAUCUUGAGAAGGGCGGAGCCGUCUUGUUUGGAAUGACGUCUGUUCAGAGAGCCAAUCCCAGUCUCGCGACUCCUGCUUGCUGGGCGCGGCUUGGGCCUCCAGGCUGCGCAGCGCAGCCGCUAUCGGGCGGACUGCAGUUCUUGCCGAGCAGUCGCAAUGAUUUGUAUGACAGCUGCUAGCCCAAGAGAGAGUUCCAGAAGAGGGCUACCUAACAGGUGCUGUGGCAUUUAGAAGAGGAAUGGAGCCAUUGUCAACGCACAGCUUGCAGGGGAGCAGGAGAGUCAGUCUAAGAAGGAAAUGUGAUGAUGGAAACAGAGGUUGGAAGAUGGAAGAGGACCCAGAGUCAAGGAAUGCAGAUGGAGUCUUGCUCUGCUGCCCAGGCUGGAGUGCAGUGGACUGAUCUUGGCUCACUGCAGCGUCCAUCUUCCGGGUUCAAGCGAUUCUCCUGCUUCAGCCUCUCAAGUAGCUGGGAUUACAGGCGCCCACCACACCCGGCUAAUUUUUUUUUUUUUUAAUACUUUAAGUUUUAGGUUACAUGUGCACAACGUGCAGGUUUGUUACAUAUGUAUACAUGUGCCAUGUUGGUGUGCUGCACCCAUUAACUCGUCAUUUAGCAUUAGGUAUCUCUCCUAAUGCUAUCCCUCCCCCCUCCCCCCACCCCACAACCGUCCCCAGUGUGUGAUGUUCCCCUUCCUGUGUCCAUGUGUUCUCAUUGUUCAAUUCCCACCUAUGAGUGAGAACAUGCGGUGAUUGGUUUUUUCUCCUUGCAAUAGUUUGCUGAGAAUGAUGGUUUCCAGCUUCAUUCAUGUCCCUACAAAGGACAUGAACUCAUCAUUUUUUAUGGCUGCAUGGUAUUCCAUGGUGUAUAUGUGCCACGUUUUCUUAAUCCAGUCUAUCAUUGUUGAAUAUUUGGGUUGUUUCCAAGUCUUUCCUAUUGUGAAUAAUGCCACAAUAAACAUACGUGUGCAUGUGAAAAAAAAAAAAAAAAAAAAAA
rnacentral:lncRNA from 1 species